rnacentral:tRNA from 1 species
GGGACUUUAGUAUAAUGGUUAAUACAGAUGACUUUUAACCAUCCAAAUGUAGGUUCGAAACCUACAAGUCCUA